UAGUAGGACAGGUUGUCAGUCCUGUGGCACUAAACUGCCUUGCAGCUUUGAAUGUUUGGAUCUGAGAAUUGACUUACAAGUAGUUCUUUUGGGAAGCAGACUGGCGGAGUUAUCAGUGGACAGUCACGUACGUUAAGUGAGAGGAUGCCGAAUGUAUUAUAAGUGGCCCAGGCUAUACUCAAGUGGCUACAUGGAGUGACGAGCCUUGGCUACAUUGCAGAGAUGGAGAAGGGGUUCUCAGCUUUCUCUACAGUAAUGGCAACCUCAGCGAUUCCAUGUUUUUGUCGUCUUAUCCAUCUGCUUAGUGUGCAAUGAUGUAGCUUUCCCCACGUCUGGAUCUCAGCCAACUACAACUGUCAGAAACCAUUUAUCUGCCUCGAUGAUCAAAUAAGCUGGCUGGUAAAACAAUGGACGUGUGAUUCACUGGGAGUGGAAGAAUGGUAAUAUAAAGAUAGGAAAAGCUGAGCCAAAAAAAAGCUAAAUGACUUAUACAGCUACUCAUCAAGACAAUGAAAGAAUCAAGAGCUGCACCUAGUUUUUCUGACUCCCAAGGCAGCACUCACGUAAUGGAUCACAUUGCCAAUUUAACUGACGUUUGGUUGGCUAGUUGGAGCAGUCCUGCCUCUGAAGAUUUUUAUUAGUUACUGGAACGGUUUGUGUGAAGAACGGGGCCCCAGAAUUCGAAUUCUAUCCAAUAUUCCUCAUUUCUUUCAUUUGAUCUUGAUCCCUGGAGGAAGAUGAGAAGCCAAACAAUUCUGGAAGCCAGGAUCAUCACAAAUGAGUUGACAGAUGUGAUUGUGAAAAAUGCAAAGCAAAAUUCUUCCUGUUCUUCCAGAUCUAUGAUCCCUCUUUUAAACAUGUCACUUGGAGUUCUUCAAAUGGGGUAAGGGCAGAACUGUGUUAUGUGAUCAACUGGAAAACAGAGAAAAUGGCGAACUUUACUUUGUUUGGCCUUGGAUUGCAUCUACAAGUUAAAAUAACUAAAGAACCCUUCCAGUCCUACACCUCUAUGAAUCUAUGAAACUCCAUGAAUUUUGUACUUUAAUCCUGAAUUAACCGAAUUAAGAACAGGAAAGCAUACCGCUGCCACAUGCCUUCUGAGGACCAGCCUUCAUUUUUCCAGAGCAUCUCAUUUAACCACAGGAAUAUUUUUUUCCCUAUAAAGUUGUAUUUAAAUAUUUAUUUUAAAAUAGUGAAGUACCUUCAUAUAAAGACACGGAAAGUUGUUUUAGUUGGCAGGCCUAAGAUCAAAUAAAAUAUCUAAAUGUGGUUUAGAUAUUGACAUUUAUUAUUUUUACGAGAAAAAAUGCACCCUAAAAGAGGAACUCAAAAUAUUUUAUUAUUUUUCAGGACUGGAUCCUGGGUCAGGAACUGGUGGAGGUGUCUCUUGUUUUUCGAGAAAGGAAGGCUUGAAAGAUGAGGUAGAUAAGCCUUCUUAAGUAUUUUUUGUGUACAUCAGAAUAGAUAUGCCUACUGUCUUAUGUAUUAGAUAUAUUAAUUAUAUAAUUGAUUUAGAAUUCUAAUUGCCAUCCAUUAUGUUAGGUGUAAUGAGCCGAAGCCUGCCAGGCUCAUAACCUGACAACCCCACAGAAAUCUAUUGCUCAUUUUUUAGUGAAACUGGGAUUCUGCUCAGUUCUACAAUCUUUUCAGUAGUGAAUCAAUCCUAGAAUGGCACGUGUCUGUGAACAUGAAAAGUGACACGUAGCACCAAUCCUGGCAGCAUAACAGAAUCACCGAAAUAAGUUUAGCACUAUAAAGAGGACUUAGUGAGAACGACUAACUCUAAUGGCACUCCCUCUUUCUGCUUCACCACCCAUCUUUCUGCUAGAAACUUAAAGAAAUAGUACAUGCAGCUUCUUGUGAGCCAAGAAUAUGCUGCAAAGCCUUGCAGUCACCAGGAACAGACCUUCCGAAUGUGAUGUCACUUCAUAUGCUACUAGCUAAUUGAUUUCUCACAAGUUACAGUUGUACCUCAAAAUUGAGUUUAUUUUUUCACCUUCUGAAAUUCCAUAACAUGUAAUAACCCUACAAUAGUUAUUCUGUUCUCAUUUACAUCUGUGCGGCCCAUAAAUAACAACUUGAUUACUUCACUGGCUUCAAUCUUGAUACCAUUUACUACAAAGAAGGAUCGUAGGUGGGGCUGGUCCUGCUUUGAGCAGGGGGUUGGACUAGAUGUGACCUCCUGAGGUCCCUUCCUGCCUUCAUUUUGUAUGAUUUUAUGAUCAUUUCCUAAUGAUGAUUUUUUCCUUCUUAAAGGCAAAGCUUCACAUGGAUUUUUGUUGUUGCUUCCAGCACUUUGUAACACAGAGCAUAACUUUGUCCUGAUUCCUACUUGCUGUGAUACUAAUAACUGCUGCAACACAGUGAAGUGAAAAAGAAACUCAGCUAGUUUAAUUAGAGUUCAUUCUUUUUAUUUAGGUCAGUUAAGAUGUGUAAGUUGUGUCUGUUCCAGGUCUGCUCACACGUGUAAUGUCACUGAGAGUUUGGUUUGGAGAGUAAAGUUUGCACCAACGUCUUUAAGAGGGAAUUGUGCCUCCCCUUUGAAAUGUAUAUGAAUUAAAAAAAGAUAAAAUUAUCCAAAGCACCUUAGUGACUUAGGGACUGAAAUCCAAAGGGAAGUCAAAGAGACUUAGGAUACCUAAAUCACUUAGACAUUUACUAAAUUUUACUUGGCCUAUCCUCAGAACUAUUGCAGUUCAUCAUUUUGCAAUAGCCUGUCUAAUAUAUUCUUUUCUUCAUUAAAAAUACAUGAAAACAUGUAUUUCUGCUCCUCUGAAAUCAGGGGCUAGGGACAGAAAUGACCCCCAAACUGGUAUAAGUGAUUUGAAACCGAUUCAAAUCUGUAAUACAACAUAAGUUCAGUGCACAUAAACCACUUUCAAAAUGGCUAAAACCAGUUUAAGGUAAACCUGGGUGGAUACAGUAUCAGACUUAACUGAUUUAGGUUAAAUUGGUCUAUUGAACUUCUGUCCCAGAUCCCUUUCAGAUUCAAGUUAAGGCCCUCUAGACUGAAGUUAACUCCCAGUCCCCCAGCAUCCCAGGAUGCUUUGCACUUCCCCCACAAACCCCACCUCAGUGGGUGGGCAGGUUAGCCUUGGUUUAAAUUCCACUGAGUAGGGAGGCAUACUCUAGCGCCCCCCGGCUUCUGGCCUGGGCCACUACAGGCGGGGGACUGCAUUUCUGGGAUCAAAAGUGGAUGUCUGUUCACUGGCUUAUUGGUUCAAUCUACACACUUACACUAACCUGCCAAGUUUGAAUCGAUUCAACCACAGGCUUUUUGACGGUCAGUACUUAGCCAGGGUGUGAAGUCUUAUCUGCAGUUGAAGCUUUCAGGCUCUUUUCUCCUGACACCUGUUGACAAAGAGUGACACUUAAGUGUUUGCAAAGAGGCAUGAGCUUUUUCUUGCCAAUGCUAUGACAAGACUGGUCCUUUCUCUUAGCUGGUGUAAAUAUUGAUUGACUUUGCUGGUUUUAUCCCAACAGUUUAGCUCUGACUAUCCCAGCACAUAUUUUUUUAACUGCCCCAAAUGUCAAUUGGGCUCCACCUUUCUCAAGAGCUUGAAGAGCCACAGCAGCAUAUUUUUGAAACCGGGUUAUGUUUCUAAUUCGUUCUGCCUGGUGAUUAAAUGUUGCUGGUUAUGCUUUAAAUCAUUUACUCCAAUAAAUGUGACAGCAAAUAUGGCAUAGUGGUAGUGUCCAUGAUGAGACAUAAAUUAGAUUGUAGGGGAUCUGGCUUGUAGCUAUGUCAGAAGUAGGCUGGAAAUCAACCUGAACUAACCACCACAGCUUCAUUAAAAGCUUGAAAAUGCUGUCCUUGUAUGUUAAAACAUGUUGCAUUUCAGUGUUCAGACAGAAAGGAGAUUCAUGGUGUUAAUUCUGCAGGACUGCAGACUCCUAAAGACUCUGUAGGAGUCUUCAUUCUGGAGAAGACUCAUUCUGUCCAGGCUUUGUACAUAAAUGUUUGUGUGCAUCUUUGGGUGACAUUAGGAGUAUUGGUCUAACAAGCUGGUUUCAGUAUAACAAACGAUUGAGCAGGAGGCCUGAAAAAUAUCAUAGAAAAACUAUUUAUGUCAUUGAAAAGAACAUUUUUUUUGCCUGCUUUUUUAUUGUAUAGAAAUUACCUUGAGAAGUGAAACAUGGCACCUCAGAAUUCAAAUGGUAUCUUUUUUUUAAGGAAAGACCUGAAAACAUUCAUCUCUGUACAUGUGAUAGCAUAUUUUCAAGCUCCUUUUGCAAUAUCACACAUGGUUAGUGCAAACUAUGUAGCUGAAUGGUAUAGCUAGUGCACCAUUCAAGGGAGACAAAUUUAUUUAUUCAUAUUUAAAGUUACAGGUGUAUAAAAGAGGAGGAGGCAGUUGUAAUUCCAAAUGCUGUUUAGCCUCUUGUAAGUAGUGCCAUUGUCUCAAAUUAAUUUGGUUUCUUGAUCUCUGGAGGAAGUUUGGUAAUAUGAAAAUAAAAUAACUAGCUAAAGUAGUGAUGCACUAUAUGGUUUCUUUUAGUCCUGCAUAUAUAGCCAUCAAUAAGAAUCUCUCAAGGGCUUUUGGAAUGCAAACUCGGGGUCUAUAUACAUUGUGUAUGAGCGUGUAUAUUAUUUAUCUUUGCAUUAGCAUCUCUUUUAUCCAAGACCACUGAAGUACUGAGUUUUACAGUUUUAAAUUGUGAAAGAGAUUUCUUUAGAAAAUUGGACCAAAUUCAGUCACUGUUGUUUGUUUGGGGUUUUUUUGUUUUACUGAUCCUAAACUGGUGGUAAAAGAAGAAUAAGGAGGAAAAAAGACUUUUCUAAAAUGCACAGACCUUUUGAAUUUGAGCUUAACAGAAUCGAAUAUCUGUAAAACUCCAGACAUACCAGGCACUCACUUAAAAUUCAACAGCAUGUUGUCACUUCCAUGAUGAAACGGAAAUCUGAGCCUGAUGGUUGUACUUCACAGGAGAGGCCACCAAAUCAAAUGCUAACAAUGUCUGACACGCAAAGCAAACACAGCUUCCAACGUGUUUGUUGCAACAAGUGGGGCUCCAAGCCUGGAAGAGGGUUCUGCGCAUUGGAAAACUCUAAGCAACGUGCCGUGGCUAUGAUUAAUGAAGAAGUUGACUUGGAACAGUCCAGCUCAGAGGGAGGUGGCAACCCAAGGAAUUCAUCAUAGAAAGCUGUAAAACAGGACGUUAAAACAGACAUUGGGUUAAAAUAUACAACUGAAAAAAAAAGUUAAUUUGUUUUCAUCUGCUGGUUACAUUCCAAAAGGUGAAGUUUGUUUUUUCCUUUUGAACCUGCCCUGGAGAGGAGACACGCACCAUAUGCCACCAGUGGCCCUUAUACAGAGAACUCUAACAAGAUGUUUGCCAGAGUUUUGUACUGUGUUCACCAAGCCCUGCCUCCCAGCCCCAUUUCAGGCUGGUUAGUUGAAAUUAACUUUGGACUGCAGAAAAAAGGUGCUGUAUGAAUAAGCCUUAAAAAUGAAAUGGCCAUCAAUCCACCCAACUGGGAAGGCACACGGAAAACUACAUGAUGGCUGCUGCACCAACUUGCAUGGGUUGGGUUAUGGUGUUGUGUGUUGUAGUUGACUUGGUUGGAUUUGUAUUUGAUACCCCCCUUCCUCCCCAACACACAGAGGCCACAGCAACAUAUCUGCUUCUUCAUACAUGUAUAUAUUUCCAGACCAGAAAGCACCACUGUGAUAAUAUAGUAUGACCUCUUGCAUAACGCAGGACAGAGAAUUUCAUCUAGCGAUUUCUACAAUGAAGGAGAAUCGUUCUUCAGUGCCCUGUAAGUGAAUGGUGAUCCCAGUAAAUUGGACUUGAACUACAGCACUACAUGCAUGCUAUAUGCUAUUGGUUAUAGAAGUCAACACCAUUUUUAAUCUCUCAAGGUCCUUAGCAUCGUUGCAUAUCCAUAAGCUCCAGGAAUUCAGCCUUUCAACUGUUGGCAGAGAUGCAGUCAAACUUGUCAAAGGCUGACUACUUGUAAAGGGAGCCAAAUUUAAUCAGGACAAUAAUGCAAAGCAUAGCGUAGACUUAAGCAGCAAGGUUCAGUCUGUCAUUUUCUAUUAGUCAAUACCUAAAAUAGAAUAACUCCCCUAUGCCGCUCUGUGCUUUUCAAACAUGCCCUGAUUGUAUCCUUCCAAUACAAAUAAAAUGUCAUAUUGUGUCAGUUGCUGAGACAAUGUUACAAGAAGACACCCCUCCCCAUUCUCUUCCUUCCUCGCUGUUUCGGUUUAGACAAAUAAAAAGUUCCAUUUCUCCGGUUUGUAGCUCAGUCUUCCGGGUUCUGUCAAUAGUUAAAUCAUCCAUGAUUAAAUUUGC